rnacentral:rRNA from 1 species
UACGUAGGGGCCUAGCGUUGUCCGGAUUUAUUGGGCGUAAAGAGCUCGUAGGCGGCUUGUCGCGUCGGAUGUGAAAGCCCGGGGCUUAACUCCGGGUCUGCAUUCGAUACGGGCAGGCUAGAGUUCGGUAGGGGAGAUCGGAAUUCCUGGUGUGAGCGGUGGAAAUGCGCAGAUAUCAGGAGGAACACCAAUGGCGAAGGCAGCUCGCUGGGACGGUACUGACGCUGAGACGCGAAAGCGUGGGGAGCAAACAGG